GAUUGAUGUUAUUUCUUUUUCUGAGGUGGAUAUAAUUACUCCAGCACAGAAGCUGUUGGCUAGGCAGUUGACAUGUGAUGUAGUACCAGGAAAAAGCCUGCUAGUUACUGGUCCAAAUGGGAGUGGAAAAAGUUCUGUUUUCAGAGUACUUAGAGGUCUGUGGCCCAUUGUGAGUGGAAGGCUUUAUAAACCAUCCCACCAUUUUGAUGAAGAUACUGCAUCUGGUGGCAUAUUCUAUGUUCCUCAGCGACCACAUACAUGCUUGGGAACUUUAAGGGAUCAAAUCAUAUAUCCUCUCUCUCGUGAGGAAGCAAACCUGAGAGAAUUGAAGUUGUAUGGUCAAGGUGAAAGCCAAGCGGAUGCCAACAGCAUUCUUGAUGCACGUUUGAAAACCAUUCUUGAAAAUGUUCGAUUGAAUUAUCUUUUAUAACGUGAGGAAGGUGGUUGGGAUGCUAAUCUCAAUUGGGAAGACAUCCUCUCUCUCGGAGAACAGCAG